rnacentral:tRNA from 2 species
UGGGGCGUAGCCAAGCGGUAAGGCAGCGGUUUUUGGUACCGCCAUUCCCUGGUUCGAAUCCAGCGCCCAGCCA